UUUAUAAUAUAAAUUUUAAACUUAGACUCCAAAUAUAUUCUAAAACUCAAACCAUAUACUUAAUUAUAAAUCUUAACCCUAAACCCUAAACCACAUACUUCAUAUUAACCUACAUCAUAAAUCCUAAUUUACAAAUUUCAAAAAUUUAAAUUGUACUCUAAAUUCUAACAUAUACACUAUAACUGUGAACUCUAAAUACAAAAUCUAAAUUUUAAAUUUAAUCAAAUACAUAUACUAUAAAUGCCAAACACCAAACCCUACAUCAAACCCUAUUCUUCAAAUUGAUACUCAAACUCUAAAUCCUUUUAUAACAAUUCUUAAUUUUUUUAAGGAAAAUCAUAAUUAUAUAUCAUAAUUGAUAUUUUUGCAAUUACAAAUUGUAAUUACUGAAAUUAACCAUCACUUAAUCUUCAAACAUUAGUCUUUGUAAACAUAUAAAAUGAUAUGUCAAACUUAAUAAGAUUAAAUCAAAUAAAAUAAAAAAGAAAGAAUUGUGUGGUACAAACUACAAUCUCUAUCUCACCUCCUUUUACGUCAUUCUUCUUUUUUUAAUAGCAAUCCUAGUGAUUCUUUUCUAUUGGCUAAUACAAGAAAGUGGGGAUAACUUCUUUUUUAACCUUAACCGUUGAUGAAUUUAAUCUAAGGGACAUAAAUAUUUGCUUCUUUUUUAAUGGUUUCCUCUCUUUCUCGAUCUCUGCUCCUCUCCUCUUCUACUGUCGUAAACCUGAAAAAAAAAUGAAUCCAUCUCUUCUUCUUCUCUGGAAUAUCCACCACCAUGCUCCUUUCUAUUCGGUUGCGCCCUUCACCACCACCACCACCGCACACUCGUCAACACCACCACCGCACGCUCGUCAACACCACCACCGGUCACGAAAGUGGAGGAGGCACAGGAUUGAUGAAUGAGGCACAGGAGAUUGAUAGAGGAGGUAGCAGUGGUGGGUCGUGAGCAGAGCCGGCUUGAAUGUUGAAGACGAAGAAGCUCGGUGAGGAGGCGGCAGGCGGCGGAGAAUAUACAUUAGGUUUAGAUUAGGGUUAGGUAUAUUUUUAAUUUGGUUUAGUAUGCUAAACCGAUUUUUUUAUUAAUAGUUUGAAUCUUUUUUAUGUUUGUGUUUUGAAAUCUGGGUUCCAGGGAUAAACAGAAGAUGAAGAACAUCAGGAGACGGAGAGAAGAGAGAAGGGUUUUUUUAGAUUUUGUUUUUAAACCUGGUUUGUAUGUAAACUGGUUUAGUUUGUAAACCGAAAUUUUUUGUAAUCUGGUUUAAUUUAUAAACCGAUUGUAAACCAAAAUUUUAAUAUAAACCAAAAUCAUUUAUAAA